AUGAUGUUUGCGAAGAGUUUUCAACGAAUUUCAAUCAUUGAUUCAAUAAUUAUUAUGCUAGGAAAUCAAAUACUCAAGUUUUGAUAUUGGGGAAGGUUCUAAAUAUGUUUAGGAUGUAUUUAGAAUGCUUUGUUAUUGUUGUGAAUGAUUAGAAGUUGAUUGGGAAUCCUUGUUGAUUGUUUUAGGCGGAGAAUUCUCUUUAGGCGACUUUUGAAAGUGUUAAAGUGGCCUAUCAGUUUGUCUACACAAGUCUCUAAGGAUCAAUAAGCGUUGCCCAUCUACAGGUUUGAAGUUGACGCAUCAUUGGGAUCGGGAUUAGAGAGCUUGUAUUUAUUUUGAUUUGCUAAGUGCCUUGGGUUUGUUAAAUUGGAGUUUAAACUUGUCGUACUAUCUACAUUACUUUAUUUUC